rnacentral:rRNA from 1 species
AGUGAACGUUGGCGGCGUGGAUUAGGCAUGCAAGUCGUGCGGAAAGGCCCCGCAAGGGGUACUCGAGCGGCGUAAGGGAUAGUAACACGUGGGUAACCUACCCCCGGGACUGGGAUAGCUGCGGGAAACUGCAGGUAAUACCGGAUAAUGUCCCCGGACCAAAGGUGUGAUUCCGCCUGGGGAGGGGCCCGCGUCCUAUUAGCUAGUUGGCAGGGUGACGGCCUACCAAGGCAAAGAUGGGUAGCGGGUGUGAGAGCAUGACCCGCAUCACUGGGACUGAGACACUGACCAGACACCGACGGGUGGCUGCAGGCGAGAGUCUUCGGCAAGGGGCGCAAGCGUGACCGGGCGACGCCGCGUGCGGGAUGAAGGCCCUCGGGUUGUAAACCGCUGUCAGAGGGAAAGAAAUGCCGGGGGGUUCUCCCUUCGGUUUGACUGACCCUCAGAGGAAGUACGGGCUAAGUUCGUGCCAGCCGCCGCCGUAACAC